rnacentral:lncRNA from 1 species
GCUGUGCUGAGAGUUUGGGGUUCCCCAUCCCCACAAUGCUGAGAGUUUGGGGUUCCCCGUCCCCGCAGUUUUUGGGCUGUGCAGAAGAGCUCACAGCAGCCCCUGGUGUUGGUGUUGAACCUCCACGUUCCAAGGGAAUGUUCUCGAGUUGCCCAUCUGGGAUUUACGUCCGUGUCGAGUGAGUGAAUCUCCCUGUUCAGUGAUUUAUUUGGGAUCCCUGGGCAGGAGCAUCCUGAGCUCUGCUCCUCUGCUGAGCCCAGCACACCCAGAGGUUUUCUGGGCCAGCAGCAGCAGCUUCCCCCUGUUCUGGUUGAAGAAUUUCCCGUGGUUUCUCUUUGUGUCACUUUGUUUUCCCACGAGCCUGAGCAGGGUCGUGUGCUCUGCCCUCGCUCUCAGCCCACUGCUGCCUUUCUGCUUCUCAACAAUGAUUUCUUUUCCCCUUGGCUGCUCCUCCUGGCCACGCCUGGGCCAGAGGAACCACCAAGGUUUAUCCUCAAACUGGAACAAACCCAAAGGGAUGUGGAUUCUCCGCUGGGACGUGGACUCAGCCUUGUCUGGGGUUAAAAACCUGGAAAAACAUCCCCAGGUGGGAGAAGCGUCAGGGAUUUUUGGGAGUUGUUGGUUUCCCUGUUCUUCACGUCCGCAGGAAGUGGGUUCUGUGUGUCUCAUGUUUUAAGAGUUGCGACUAAUGUUUAUAAAGAGCUUGUUAUUUACGUUUGAAGCACUUUAAAAAAAAAAAUAAAAGUUGUUCAAGCUGUUCCUAGACA